AGGAAGUGAACCCAAGACCCUUUGGUGAGUGGUCCAAUGCUCUAACCACUGAGUACACUGACAGAGCGAGCUCAUCUCCUUUUGACAACCUUCCUUCUUGGCCUGGUCUUGGGUCUCUGCCCUUUACGGAUAGCAGCCCAAGACCCUGGUGGCCUGUGAUUGUGUCUUUCAUGACACUCUCCAGUUCGAGUCCCUGACCCCUGUGCCUAGUUACAUUAGAAUGCUAUACUUUUUAUUUCAGAUGAUAGGAUCAGAAAUAAGAAAGGAGAAUUGAUUUAAAAGCAAGAUCUUACUGUAGAUAUGGAAUCCCAAGAAAAGUUAUCUGGCCCGACCAACGGAGAGGGUCCUGGAUGUGGAGACACCCAAGAACCAGAAGGAUGGACAGAAAGACAUCAGAGAAGCACUUCAAGUGAGAGAAGGUAUAAGUGUGAUGAACAUGAGAAAAGAUUCACUCUGAACUCGAGCCUCAUUAGACAAAAGAGAAUUCACACUGGAGAGAGACACUGUUCAUGUAACGUCUGUGGCAAUUUUAAUGCAGAAGCCCACAACGUAUUGACCGUCAGAGAAUACGUAGCCUGUUUUAUAGGUUAAAACUGUAUCAGUGUGAGGAGUGCAGAAAGCCUUUAUCACAAUUCACACAUCCAUGGACCUGCACUGGUGAAAUGCCUUUCCAGAUGGUGAGUGUGGCAAAGCUUUUCAUGACAGCUCAGCCACAUCCGACACCAGAGGACCUGCACAGGGAACAAGGCACACCAGAGUAUCGACUGGGGGAAAUGCGUCAGCCUGAGCUCAGGCCCUAGAGUGUGAGGAGGGUGGGAAGACCUCAGUUACAGCUCACAUCUGGGACCCAGAAGAAUCCACAUGGGAGAGGAGCCCUGGUGACACACGUGUGCGGAGCUACUCCUGGCACCCGUUCUGAGGACACCAAGAUGCACGCUGGCGAUGGUGUUGCCCUAACAGUGCUGGGCUCUCCACUCCCUGCCACUCAUUCCAGAGUCACGUGAACACAGCCUCCAAGCAGCAUGGGAUGCUUUGCCCACUGAACACAUCACCUGCUGAGCUGGGGCGCUGAAUGGGCCCAUUCGUGUUGUCAGACUCUUCUCAGAAGUCAGUUGCUCAGGAAAUCUUAGUGUUUAUAUUCCUCUUCCCCUUCUCUCCUCCCUAUUUUCUGAACUACUUUGAAAAAAAAGAAAGCCAACACCUCAAUAUUUGGUUAACUUGAUCAAAUACAUUAACCUAUCAAUUAUUUAAACUAAAAACAUGGUGAAAGACAAAAACUAUUUUGUUAUACUGGAAUGGGUUAUGCUUUGCAGGGCCGGAAUGGGUCAAGGCUGGAUGGAUCGAUCAACCUGCUGAUCCACAGGGACCUUUCACAUCUUUAACCAGACGUGGCAGACAAGCCCCACAUAGUUUUUGUUUGUUAGUUUUUUGUAAUUUAAAAUAAUAGCAACUCUUUAAGACUCUG